rnacentral:lncRNA from 1 species
UCAAAUGGACAGCAAGCAAUAAUGAUACGUUCAGCUGAGAGGCUCAACUGGAUCGACAGCUGAGAAGACUUUUUUAGAAUUCACAAAAGUAAAGAAACUUCAAGAGUUACCUGAAGAAGUCACAAGAAGUUGCACUGUGAAUGACACGGACAAGCUAAUGGCCUAAGCAGCACUGAGACAAGUUCAGGACAUCUUGUGACACCCUACCAAAGAAGGAAAACUCAGUGGUGAAAUAUGAGACAACCUCCAGGCAUCUGGGGAACUUUCAUCCCAUCAGAUAAGCCAGCCCAGGAACCUACUUACCUCUCCCAUGAGAGAACUCGGCAUUUACUCCAGAAACAUCACUCUCUGGACCACAUGUGGCAAGGCAGAAUCUGGAGGGGAACUGCUGAAACGGAUUCCUUAAAACAAAGACUCCAGAUGGAUUUUGAAUCUCCAAAAAUGAAAUAGAACAACCCACUUUUUAGCUAGAGAAUGGCUGCACAAAACAGAAUUAGAGUUUGAAAGCAGAUCUCCCCUUCUCAUCACAACGAGUACUCAGUGUUUUCUUUUGCUGCAAUGAGUUACAUACAGGUGACAGCAACCUAUGGGAAGGGACUCAUGUAUCUCUGUAUUGGCAUGUUGUACUUUCUGAGAAGCCAUAGGGUACCUGAGGGACCAGCUCUUCAGAAGGGUGCAGGUCUCUCAUACAGUUUGUAUCAUGUCUUAGUCCUGGCUGCUCUCUGAUCUUCUCAACAGUUUUCCUGUCUGCUAAAUCUCACAUCAUGACUUCGUGCCCUCUCUGUACUCUGGGGGCACUCCUCAGAUCUGUCGGUGUCCACAGAGUCUGAACAAUGCACAGCAGAUGGUACCACAGACACAAGUCCUCCUCCCUGCUACCUACCCACACUCUUAGAGAAUGCAGUAAGCCACAAACAAACAAGUAAAACAUGUGCCAGGACUCUCAAAGGAAACAUACAGUUUGAAAGCUUCUCUUCCUGUUUCUCAGGCUAAACACCCCGGGUGUUUGUGGAAGAUGCUGAUCAUGCCCUUUCUGAAUAAUCACAUGCUAGAGGUUAAACUUUCACCAUCCCCUUUACCGUGCAUACUGCAAGACCUUUGACAAGUAAAUGGCUAAUGAAAUACUCAGAGAAUUGCUUCAUAAUAUGAAAUUUAUGUUCUACAAUGCAAUCUACAUUCAGUCAACAAACUAAGAUGCAGAACAAUAUCUGGUCUGCAGGAAACAAACAGCUUUUCCUGAUGCCAAAGGGAGCUGCUCAAUUUACCCUGGAUUUUCGGAGGGCACUGACCAUCAGACUGGAGAAUAUUUAAUAUUUGAAAGUGCAUCUUCUUCUUUUGUAUCACCACUAAAGUUAUUUGGUCUUCUCCCAGCUUUUAGAAAUUACCUCUGGUUUCUAGAACAACUUGGAUACUUCCUUCAUAUACAAAAUGUCAUUCCUGUACCUUACAAGAUACACAGUGUAUCUGCUGGUCAAAGCCAUCCUUUGGAAACACAGGCAAACACACCCCAGAAUGUCUUUUACUGAUAAAAAU